AAGGCAAACCAGUUUGUCGCUGUUUCGUUUAUUCGAGAGAGAGGAAAGUCUGGGCAGUACAGAGCACCGUACUUCUUAACGAGAAGGAUUCUAAGCAAUUAGAUUACAGAUAGUGCCACAGAAAUAAGUAGCCUUGGAGUAAUAUUCAAGGUCAUAGUGAAAAGGCGAGGUAAGAGCUCACCGCUCCGAUGGUGACAUCGUUGGCUAGGUAAACCUUACGGACUGAAAGACCAUGUAAACCAAGGUUUGAGAACUGCUCGUUCAACUUGGAGGGUAGGUCGAUUGAUCCCGCGGGUGACUUCGGGACUAGAUAAAUGACAAACAGCCAUCUUCGAUGGUUUACAGAACCCGGCUUAUGGUUUGCCUUUGUU
rnacentral:RNase_P_RNA from 1 species